CCUACGGGAGGCAGCAGUGAGGAAUAUUGGUCAAUGGCCGGAAGGCUGAACCAGCCAUGCCGCGUGAAGGUCAGUGCCCUAUGGGCGUUAAACUUCUUUUGUGCGGGAGCAAUAAUGGUCACGUGUGGCCAGACGAGAGUACCGUACGAAUAAGCAUCGGCUAGCUCCGUGCCAGCAGCCGCGGUAAUACGGGGGAUGCAAGCGUUAUCCGGAUUUAUUGGGGUUAAAGGGUGCGUAGGCUGGGAGGUAAGUGAGCGGUGAAAUGCCCCCGCGCAACGGGGUGAAGUGCCAUUGAUACUGCCUUGCUGGAAUGCGGAUGCCGUGGGAGGAAUGUGUGGUGUAGCGGUGAAAUGCAUAGAUAUCACACAGAACACCGAUUGCGAAGGCAUCUCACGAAUCCGCGAUUGACGCUGAUGCACGAAAGCGUGGGUAUCAAACAGGAUUAGAUACCCGUGUAGUC
rnacentral:rRNA from 1 species